rnacentral:lncRNA from 10 species
AGGGUGCUGGAGUGGGGCUCAUUCUGUGCCAGGGUUGAGAUCUCAGGGGCUCUGCUCGCGGGUGGAAGAACUGCUCCCAUUAAGAUGGAUCUAGAAGGUCUCUUUGGUUUCAAACAAGAUCUCAAUAAACAGUGGAGAUAUAGGGAAUGGAGUCUAAUUUUUCAGGGACAAGAAAUAGGCAAAAAUUAAGCAGGGUAUUAAGGCUUUAAACAAGCAGGCUGAAGCCCAGCACAAGCCUGCGACAGAGCUAGGGAAAUGGAGCAGAAAUGAAGCAAGCUCGGUCACACUGCCACACCAGCAACGUGGUGGGAUGCUGAGAGAACCUACUCCUAAGGGGGUGAGAGAGCCUGGGCCUACCACAGGAUCCCCAGCUACAGACAGCAAGGCCCACUCCUGCACUGCUGAUUGGUGGGUCUGAGUCUGUCUUCUCAGGGACAAACUGAAGGUCUGCACAUGGUUAAGGUUUCCUGUUAAACGUCCUCAGAGCCUGCCAUGGAAGGGAACAGUCCAAAAGCUUCAAGGAAAGCAGAGACCGCAAGCAGAGGCUCAAGCCAUAAGUCAGGACUUGGGGAAAAAAGCGAAGAACCCAAUUAUCAGAAGUGAGCACCAAGCUCAGCACUAACUGAUGCCUGUUCUCCGUGCUGAGCUAGGAAAUGCUGAAACUCCCCUGACUUUAAGACCCAUCCCAGAGGUGAAAUCAAAUGAAAAUUAACACCAAGGACCCCACAAAGGGUAAAGAAGCCACUACAAGCCAAGAAAGCAGAGUGUGUGGACAAAAGAAGGGGGGAAGUAAGUCACUCCAGAUUCUCUGGGUUGCUAGGUGUAGUUUGGAAGACAAAGUUACUGAUAUUUUCAAGCUUCAGCUGGCCAAGCCCUCUUCUCCUCUAGGUGGGAUGCCUCCAUGAGCUCCAACAGGCAGCCUCGCCGACCUCCCAGCUCUGCUCAGUUGCUCAGCACCCCAUGGAGAAGGUGAAGCCCAUAAUGAACACACUGCCCUGGCCACUUACUUCCUCCAACCAAAGAAGCCCUCAUCUCCCGGGCCUAGACCAUUUCCGGAGACCAGCUUGUGACAGAGCCACAACCUCCGGUCACUCUGUCAGCUAUCUGCAGUUCCUCCUUUUUCCUUUCCUCUCUCCCCUCAUAAACAAUGACUGUUGAUGUUUCCACUAGCUACAGAUGCUGAUGCCAAGAUUAGCUUUGGUCAAGAUGAUAUUCUCCAUCCUCCAAAACAAUGACCAAAAUGUUUUAUUUUAUGGCUAGGAACUUUACUUUCUUUCAUAUGAAAUAUUUAAUGUAUUUUUCACUGUGCUCAUUUUUGUUUUGUGUGGUGAUAGUUAAUAGCAAAACUUAUGCUACCCCAUCAAGAAAUAAACAAGGAACUUCUUGAUAACAGGAGGAACUAACCAUGCAACUGAAAGCAGAGGCGCAAAAAAGAGCUUUUUCUAUAUUUGAUUCCUUCUCUGAUUUGUAUAAUCUCCCCAUCAAAAAAAAAAAAAUCAAUGAAUUGUGUAACUCAGUUUCUCAAGUGUCAUAACAACCUGUGCUCCCUGUUCCACUCUCCCCACACACAGAAUGCUUAAUAAGAGAUUAAAGCACACAUAGACAUCUAUCGUUUUAAGCAGGUAGCUAUAUGCUUCUGCUGCCACUCACCAAAGACAGGGAAAUUUCUCAUUUGUAUAAAGCCCAGUUACCAAUACUUAACAGCUUUCUCUUCUAUAAGUUCAAGUCUAAAAAAUAGAAUUUCAGAACAGUGGAGGAAAAUAUGAAUAUUACAACAUAUAAUAUUAAGGCAACCAUAGUCUCAUGGGAAAAAAAACAGGACAAAACCCAGAUGAUGCAGAGUUUUAAGUGUAAAAAUAAAAGAAUAAAAGUAAUAGAGAAAAAAUGGUUUUUUAAAAAUACUUUUUGGAGGCUGGGCGUGGUGGC